rnacentral:rRNA from 1 species
AUUGAACGCUGGCGGCAGGCCUAACACAUGCAAGUCGAGCGGUUGAGGUAGCUUGCUACCGAUGCAGCGGCGAACGGGUGAGUAAUACAUGGGAAUCUGCCUGGAAGUGGGGGACAACGUCUCGAAAGGGACGCUAAUACCGCAUACGCCCUACGGGGGAAAGGGGGGGAUCUUCGGACCUCUCGCUAUCAGAUGAGCCCAUGUCAGAUUAGCUAGUUGGUAGGGUAAAGGCCUACCAAGGCGACGAUCUGUAACUGGUCUGAGAGGAUGAUCAGUCACACUGGAACUGAGACACGGUCCAGACUCCUACGGGAGGCAGCAGUGGGGAAUAUUGGACAAUGGGCGCAAGCCUGAUCCAGCCAUGCCGCGUGUGUGAAGAAGGCCUUAGGGUUGUAAAGCACUUUCAGUGGGGAGAAAGGUUAUUCACCUAACACGUGAGUAAAUUGAUGUUACCCACAGAAGAAGCACCGGCUAACUCCGUGCCAGCCGCCGCUGUAA